AAAAGUGUGUGUGGGAAAGCUACAGAAAAAGGUCUUCCAUCUGCAAACAUACAAAGGGAUGUUUUGAGACCUGCCAUUUUACAACCACCAGAAGAUGCUUUCUGUAGCCCUGCAAAUAUGAGGGNACCUGAAAGUGUCUCAGAGGAUAAGUGUGAGGAAGAAAAAAAGGUAUCCAUAGACAAGGAUUCUUGGACAGNUCACUCAGAAAAUCCACCUCUCUCUCUUCACAUUUCUGGUCCUAAAACUCUAGGG
rnacentral:lncRNA from 1 species